AGGGAAUAUUGGUCAAUGGACGCAAGUCUGAACCAGCCAUGCCGCGUGCAGGAAGACGGCCUUCUGGGUUGUAAACUGCUUUUAUCAGGGAAGAAAAUACUCUUGCGAGAGGGAUUGCCGGUACCUGAUGAAU
rnacentral:rRNA from 1 species